GCUCAAGACAUCCUUUUCCAUGAGGAGGUGGUGCGAAUUUCACGGGGCCGUGUGCCAAAUCGUGUUUAAGCUAUGGAUGUCGGUGAGAUUCCAUCCAGGGUCAUGAUCAAGGCGGCAUUCACUGCAGUUUCCAAAGUCAUUCACAACACCAUACCCACCAAGGGCGAAUAGAGAAGUGCCGGUGACAUUCUCUCCGACAACAUGUCAUAAACAUCAUUCCGAUGGAGAAGUCCGACUAUACAACCAAUAACCUUUGACAUGUGGUACUAAUGACAGUUUACAUAGUGUUUUUAGCUAUCGAAUAGUUUUUUUUUUCCCAUUUGAUGUUUUAUUACCGUCGAUAUCUAUAGAUGCUUAA